GUCUUCUUAUUUGGGAUUUUACACAUACGUAGCUGUGCUGCAUUUGAUAUUUUUCUCGUGCAGGGACCGUCAUUCGUCAUCCUGCUGGUCAACUCUCUUUUUGGCAACUCGCAAAAAAAGUUGUAGCCGGCAAACAAAAGCAGGAAGAACAACAGCUCUGUCGCAGCCAUGAACGAAAAAUGUAUUAAACAAAUAAAAGUUAAAAGCAUUUGAUGGACCACACACGAAAGAAUCACUGAAGGUUUUGGGGAUUAGAGAAGUUGAAAUUCCCUAAUUUCAGUAAUACGAAGUCCACGGUAUUUAUACGUUAAAUAUCGAACUAUAAUAGAAAAUUGU
ensembl:ncRNA lncRNA:CR45222 long non-coding RNA:CR45222